UACCGUGAAACUGCGAAUGGCUCAUUAAAUCAGUUAUCGUUUAUUUGACAGUACCUUACUACUUGGAUAACCGUGGUAAUUCUAGAGCUAAUACAUGCUGAAAACCCCAACUUCGGAAGGGGUGUAUUUAUUAGAUAAAAAACCAACGCCCUUCGGGGCUUCUUGGUGAUUCAUGAUAACUUUACGGAUCGCAUGGCCUUGCGCCGGCGACGGUUCAUUCAAAUUUCUGCCCUAUCAACUUUCGAUGGUAAGGUAUUGGCUUACCAUGGUUUCAACGGGUAACGGGGAAUUAGGGUUCGAUUCCGGAGAGGGAGCCUGAGAAACGGCUACCACAUCCAAGGAAGGCAGCAGGCGCGCAAAUUACCCAAUCCCGACACGGGGAGGUAGUGACAAUAAAUACUGAUACAGGGCUCUUUUGGGUCUUGUAAUUGGAAUGAGUACAAUUUAAACCUCUUAACGAGGAACAAUUGGAGGGCAAGUCUGGUGCCAGCAGCCGCGGUAAUUCCAGCUCCAAUAGCGUAUAUUAAAGUUGUUGCAGUUAAAAAGCUCGUAGUUGAACCUUGGGUCUGGCUGGCAGGUCCGCCUCACCGCGUGUACUUGUCCGGCCGGGCCUUCCUUCUGGAGAACCUCAUGCCCUUCACUGGGCGUGUUGGGGACCAGGACUUUUACUUUGAAAAAAUUAGAGUGUUCAAAGCAGGCCUUUGCUCGAAUACGUUAGCAUGGAAUAAUAGAAUAGGACGUGCGGUCCUAUUUUGUUGGUUUCUAGGACCGCCGUAAUGAUUAAUAGGGACAGUCGGGGGCAUCAGUAUUCAAUUGUCAGAGGUGAAAUUCUUGGAUUUAUUGAAGACUAACUACUGCGAAAGCAUUUGCCAAGGAUGUUUUCAUUAAUCAGUGAACGAAAGUUAGGGGAUCGAAGACGAUCAGAUACCGUCGUAGUCUUAACCGUAAACUAUGCCGACUAGGGAUAGGGCGAUGUUCUUUUUCUGACUCGCUCGGCACCUUACGAGAAAUCAAAGUUU
rnacentral:rRNA from 1 species